UAACAAGGUUUCCGUAGGUGAACCUGCGGAAGGAUCAUUAAUAGAGUAUGCACGUCCGUGCCAGGCCCACGUGGCCCGGCACUGGUUCGGUGAAACUCCACCCUCUGCGAAGAGAUCUUAUAUACCUUCUGUUCCCUCGGUGGAUUCGUAUCCGCCGAGGGAGAUUUAAACCCUUGCUGAGUAUGUGUCGUCAGAGUAAUUAUCAAAUAAAUUAAAACUUUCAACAACGGAUCUCUUGGUUCCGGCAUCGAUGAAGAACGCAGCGAAAUGCGAUAAGUAAUGUGAAUUGCAGAAUUCAGUGAAUCAUCGAAUCUUUGAACGCACAUUGCGCCCCUUGGUAUUCCGAGGGGCAUGCCUGUUCGAGCGUCAUUACAAACCUCAAGCAUCGCUUGGUGUUGGGUGUUGCCCUCAGCGGGGCACACCUCAAAGCCCUCGGCGGCCCCGUCCCGCUUCAAGCGUCGUGAACGUCUAAAACGCGUCUCGCUUUGGAAGUCCGGGCCGGCGCUUGCCGUGAAAGCCAUAUCAUCUCAAGUUUGACCUCGGAUCAGGUAGGGAUACCCGCUGAACUUAAGCAUAUC
rnacentral:rRNA from 1 species